GGUUAAGCGACUAAGCGUACACGGUGGAUGCCCUGGCAGUCAGAGGCGAUGAAGGACGUGCUAAUCUGCGAUAAGCGUCGGUAAGGUGAUAUGAACCGUUAUAACCGGCGAUUUCCGAAUGGGGAAACCCAGUGUGUUUCGACACACUAUCAUUAACUGAAUCCAUAGGUUAAUGAGGCGAACCGGGGGAACUGAAACAUCUAAGUACCCCGAGGAAAAGAAAUCAACCGAGAUUCCCCCAGUAGCGGCGAGCGAACGGGGAGGAGCCCAGAGCCUGAAUCAGUGUGUGUGUUAGUGGAAGCGUCUGGAAAGGCGCGCGAUACAGGGUGACAGCCCCGUACACAAAAAUGCACAUGCUGUGAGCUCGAUGAGUAGGGCGGGACACGUGGUAUCCUGUCUGAAUAUGGGGGGACCAUCCUCCAAGGCUAAAUACUCCUGACUGACCGAUAGUGAACCAGUACCGUGAGGGAAAGGCGAAAAGAACCCCGGCGAGGGGAGUGAAAAAGAACCUGAAACCGUGUACGUACAAGCAGUGGGAGCACGCUUAGGCGUGUGACUGCGUACCUUUUGUAUAAUGGGUCAGCGACUUAUAUUCUGUAGCAAGGUUAACCGAAUAGGGGAGCCGAAGGGAAACCGAGUCUUAACUGGGCGUUAAGUUGCAGGGUAUAGACCCGAAACCCGGUGAUCUAGCCAUGGGCAGGUUGAAGGUUGGGUAACACUAACUGGAGGACCGAACCGACUAAUGUUGAAAAAUUAGCGGAUGACUUGUGGCUGGGGGUGAAAGGCCAAUCAAACCGGGAGAUAGCUGGUUCUCCCCGAAAGCUAUUUAGGUAGCGCCUCGUGAAUUCAUCUCCGGGGGUAGAGCACUGUUUCGGCAAGGGGGUCAUCCCGACUUACCAACCCGAUGCAAACUGCGAAUACCGGAGAAUGUUAUCACGGGAGACACACGGCGGGUGCUAACGUCCGUCGUGAAGAGGGAAACAACCCAGACCGCCAGCUAAGGUCCCAAAGUCAUGGUUAAGUGGGAAACGAUGUGGGAAGGCCCAGACAGCCAGGAUGUUGGCUUAGAAGCAGCCAUCAUUUAAAGAAAGCGUAAUAGCUCACUGGUCGAGUCGGCCUGCGCGGAAGAUGUAACGGGGCUAAACCAUGCACCGAAGCUGCGGCAGCGACACUGUGUGUUGUUGGGUAGGGGAGCGUUCUGUAAGCCUGUGAAGGUGUACUGUGAGGUAUGCUGGAGGUAUCAGAAGUGCGAAUGCUGACAUAAGUAACGAUAAAGCGGGUGAAAAGCCCGCUCGCCGGAAGACCAAGGGUUCCUGUCCAACGUUAAUCGGGGCAGGGUGAGUCGACCCCUAAGGCGAGGCCGAAAGGCGUAGUCGAUGGGAAACAGGUUAAUAUUCCUGUACUUGGUGUUACUGCGAAGGGGGGACGGAGAAGGCUAUGUUGGCCGGGCGACGGUUGUCCCGGUUUAAGCGUGUAGGCUGGUUUUCCAGGCAAAUCCGGAAAAUCAAGGCUGAGGCGUGAUGACGAGGCACUACGGUGCUGAAGCAACAAAUGCCCUGCUUCCAGGAAAAGCCUCUAAGCAUCAGGUAACAUCAAAUCGUACCCCAAACCGACACAGGUGGUCAGGUAGAGAAUACCAAGGCGCUUGAGAGAACUCGGGUGAAGGAACUAGGCAAAAUGGUGCCGUAACUUCGGGAGAAGGCACGCUGAUAUGUAGGUGAAGCGACUUGCUCGUGGAGCUGAAAUCAGUCGAAGAUACCAGCUGGCUGCAACUGUUUAUUAAAAACACAGCACUGUGCAAACACGAAAGUGGACGUAUACGGUGUGACGCCUGCCCGGUGCCGGAAGGUUAAUUGAUGGGGUUAGCGCAAGCGAAGCUCUUGAUCGAAGCCCCGGUAAACGGCGGCCGUAACUAUAACGGUCCUAAGGUAGCGAAAUUCCUUGUCGGGUAAGUUCCGACCUGCACGAAUGGCGUAAUGAUGGCCAGGCUGUCUCCACCCGAGACUCAGUGAAAUUGAACUCGCUGUGAAGAUGCAGUGUACCCGCGGCAAGACGGAAAGACCCCGUGAACCUUUACUAUAGCUUGACACUGAACAUUGAGCCUUGAUGUGUAGGAUAGGUGGGAGGCUUUGAAGUGUGGACGCCAGUCUGCAUGGAGCCGACCUUGAAAUACCACCCUUUAAUGUUUGAUGUUCUAACGUUGACCCGUAAUCCGGGUUGCGGACAGUGUCUGGUGGGUAGUUUGACUGGGGCGGUCUCCUCCUAAAGAGUAACGGAGGAGCACGAAGGUUGGCUAAUCCUGGUCGGACAUCAGGAGGUUAGUGCAAUGGCAUAAGCCAGCUUGACUGCGAGCGUGACGGCGCGAGCAGGUGCGAAAGCAGGUCAUAGUGAUCCGGUGGUUCUGAAUGGAAGGGCCAUCGCUCAACGGAUAAAAGGUACUCCGGGGAUAACAGGCUGAUACCGCCCAAGAGUUCAUAUCGACGGCGGUGUUUGGCACCUCGAUGUCGGCUCAUCACAUCCUGGGGCUGAAGUAGGUCCCAAGGGUAUGGCUGUUCGCCAUUUAAAGUGGUACGCGAGCUGGGUUUAGAACGUCGUGAGACAGUUCGGUCCCUAUCUGCCGUGGGCGCUGGAGAACUGAGGGGGGCUGCUCCUAGUACGAGAGGACCGGAGUGGACGCAUCACUGGUGUUCGGGUUGUCAUGCCAAUGGCACUGCCCGGUAGCUAAAUGCGGAAGAGAUAAGUGCUGAAAGCAUCUAAGCACGAAACUUGCCCCGAGAUGAGUUCUCCCUGACCCUUUAAGGGUCCUGAAGGAACGUUGAAGACGACGACGUUGAUAGGCCGGGUGUGUAAGCGCAGCGAUGCGUUGAGCUAACCGGUACUAAUGAACCGUGAGGCUUAACCUU
rnacentral:rRNA from 1 species